rnacentral:rRNA from 1 species
CCUACGGGGUGCAGCAGUGGGGAAUAUUGGACAAUGGGCGAAAGCCUGAUCCAGCCAUGCCGCGUGUGUGAAGAAGGCCUUCGGGUUGUAAAGCACUUUCGGUGGGGAAGAAAGCCUUGGGGCUAAUACCCUCGAGGAAGGACAUCACCCACAGAAGAAGCACCGGCUAACUCCGUGCCAGCAGCCGCGGUAAUACGGAGGGUGCGAGCGUUAAUCGGAAUUACUGGGCGUAAAGCGCGCGUAGGCGGUCUGAUAAGCCGGUUGUGAAAGCCCCGGGCGCAACCUGGGAACGGCAUCCGGAACUGUCAGGCUAGAGUGCAGGAGAGGAAGGUAGAAUUCCCGGUGUAGCGGUGAAAUGCGUAGAGAUCGGGAGGAAUACCAGUGGCGAAGGCGGCCUUCUGGACUGACACUGACGCUGAGGUGCGAAAGCGUGGGUAGCAAACAGGAUUAGAUACCCGUGUAGUC